CCUACGGGUGGCAGCAGUGAGGAAUAUUGGUCAAUGGACGAGAGUCUGAACCAGCCAAGUAGCGUGAAGGAUGACUGCCCUAUGGGUUGUAAACUUCUUUUAUAUGGGAAUAAAAUGUUCCACGUGUGGGAUUUUGUAUGUACCAUAUGAAUAAGGAUCGGCUAACUCCGUGCCAGCAGCCGCGGCAAUACGGAGGAUCCGAGCGUUAUCCGGAUUUAUUGGGUUUAAAGGGAGCGUAGGUGGAUUGUUAAGUCAGUUGUGAAAGUUUGCGGCUCAACCGUAAAAUUGCAGUUGAAACUGGCAGUCUUGAGUACAGUAGAGGUGGGCGGAAUUCGUGGUGUAGCGGUGAAAUGCUUAGAUAUCACGAAGAACUCCGAUUGCGAAGGCAGUUCACUGGACUGCAACUGACACUGAGGCUCGAAAGUGUGGGUAUCAAACAGGAUUAGAUACCCUUGUAGUC
rnacentral:rRNA from 1 species